rnacentral:rRNA from 1 species
AUUGAACGCUGGCGGCAGGCCUAACACAUGCAAGUCGAACGAGUGGCGGACGGGUGAGUAAUGUCUGGGAAACUGCCCGAUGGAGGGGGAUAACUACUGGAAACGGUAGCUAAUACCGCAUACCAUCAGAUGUGCCCAGAUGGGAUUUGCUAGUAGGUGGGGUAACGGCUCACCUAGGCGACGAUCCCUAGCUGGUCUGAGAGGAUGACCAGCCACACUGGAACUGAGAUCCGGUCCAGAGUCCUACGGGGUGCAGCAGUGGGGAAGAUUGCACAGUGGGCGCAAGCCUGAUGCAGCCAUGCCGCGUGUAUGAAGAAGGCCUUCGGGUUGUAAAGUACUUUCAGCGAGGAGGCGUUACUCGCAGAAGAAGCACCGGCUAACUCCGUGCCAGCAGCCGCGGUAAUUG